UACGUAGGUGGCAAGCGUUGUCCGGAUUUAUUGGGCGUAAAGCGAGCGCAGGCGGAAAGAUAAGUCUGAUGUGAAAGCCCCCGGCUUAACCGAGGAAUUGCAUCGGAAACUGUGUUUCUUGAGUGCGGUAGGGGAGACUGGAAUUCCCGGUGUAACGGUGGAAUGUGUAGAUAUCGGGAAGAACACCAAUGGCGAAGGCAGGUCUCUGGGCCGUUACUGACGCUGAGGAGCGAAAGCGUGGGGAGCGAACAGG
rnacentral:rRNA from 1 species